rnacentral:misc_RNA from 1 species
GAUGAAGAACGCAGCGAAAUGCGAUACGUAAUGUGAAUUGCAGAAUUCAGUGAAUCAUCGAGUCUUUGAACGCACAUUGCGCCCCCUGGUAUUCCGGGGGGCAUGCCUGUCCGAGCGUCAUUGCUGCCCUCAAGCACGGCUUGUGUGUUGGGCCUCCGUCCUCCUCCCGGGGGACGGGCCCGAAAGGCAGCGGCGGCACCGCGUCCGGUCCUCGAGCGUAUGGGGCUUCGUCACCCGCUCUUGUAGGCCCGGCCGGCGCUUGCCGACACAUCAAUCUUUUUUCCAGGUUGACCUCGGAUCAGGUAGGGAUACCCGCUGGACUUAAGCAUAUCAAUAAGCGGAGGA